rnacentral:rRNA from 1 species
UACGGGGGGAGCAAGCGUUGUUCGGAUUUACUGGGCGUAAAGGGCGCGUAGGCGGUCAGCACAAGUCAAUUGUGAAAUCUCCGAGCUUAACUCGGAAAGGUCAACUGAAACUGUGCGACUAGAGUGCGGAAGGGGCAACUGGAAUUCUUGGUGUAGCGGUGAAAUGCGUAGAUAUCGGGAGGAACACCUGUGGCGAAGGCGGCCCCCUGGUUGGAUACUGACGCUGAUACGCGAAAGCGUGGGGAGCAAACGGG